CUCUAUGGCGGACCGCGUGGGGAGACCCUCGGGUCUGCCGGAUUCCAAUGUCUCCGGUUCGCUAACCCCGCGCGGUCUGCCACCCUU
rfam:Pseudomonas sp. FeS53a scaffold3.1, whole genome shotgun sequence.